rnacentral:ncRNA from 1 species
AAAUAAUUUUAUUUUGGUUAAAAAAUUUAUUUUUAAAUUAUUUUAUAUGUAAAUUUUUGUAUGUUUUAUUAUAAAUUUUAAUAAUUUAUAAUCAUUUUUAUUCGCAGUAAUUAAUUUUAUUAAUUAAAGUUAUUUAGAAAUAGUAAUUUUAUAAAAUAUUGAUUAAAUUUGUGCCAGCAGUCGCGGUUAAACAAAUAAUGUAAGUAAAUUUUUAUUAAUAGUAGUUAUAUAAUAUAAUAAUUAUUUAAAUUAAAUUUAUUAGGUAAAAUUUUAAAUUUAUUUAAAUUAUAAAAUGAAUAAUAUAAGCUAAAAAAUUUUUAUAAAAAACUAGGAUUAGAUACCCUAUUAUUAAAAGUGUAAUUUAUAUUAUUAAGGUAGUAAUAGAUAUAAUCUUGAAACUUAAAAGAUUUGGCGGUAUUUUAGUUUAUUCAGAGGAACCUGUUUUAUAAUUGAUAAUCCACAUUGGACCUUACUUAAAUUAGUUAAUCAAUUUAUAUACCGUCGUUGUUGAAUAUUUUGUAAAAAUAAUAAUUUUCUUAAAUUUUUAUAAGAAUUUAAAUCAGAUCAAGGUGUAGUUUAUAUUUAAGUAAAAAUGGGUUACAAUUUAUAUAUAAUUGAAUAUAAGUAUGAAAAAUUUAUUGAAAUUGGAUUUGAAUGUAAAUUUAUAAAGAUUAAUAAAUUGAUUUUAACUCUAAAAUAUGUACAUAUCGCCCGUCACUCUUAUUAUUAAAGUAAGAUAAGUCGUAACAUAGUAGGGGUACUGGAAAGUGUCCCUAGAAUGA